GCUAACUCCGUGCCAGCAGCCGCGGUAAUACGGGGGAUGCAGCGUUAUCCGGAAUCAUUGGGCGUAAAGCGUCUGUAGGUUGUUGGUUAAGUCUAUGGUCAAAUUCCGAAGCUCAACUUCGGGCCGGCACUAGAAACUAAUCAACUUGAGUACGUUAGAGGCAGGGGGAAUUCCCAGUGUAGCGGUGAAAUGCGUAGAUAUUGGGAGGAACAUCAAUGGCGAAGGCACCCUGCUAGGCCGAUACUGACACUGAAAAACGAAAGCUAGGGGAGCAAAUGGGAUUAGAUACCCCAGUAGUCCUAGCCGUAAACGAUGGAUACUAGAUGUUGUGCGUAGUGUACAGUGUCCUAGCUAACGCGUUAAGUAUCCCGCCUGGGGAGUACGCUCGCAAGGGUGAAACUCAAAGGAAUUGACGGGGGCCCGCACAAGCGGUGGAGCAUGUGGUUUAAUUCGAUGCAACGCGAAGAACCUUACCAGGGCUUGACAUACUACAAAUUUCUUUGAAAAAAGGAAGUGCCUUCGGGAAUGUAGAUACAGGUGGUGCAUGGCUGUCGUCAGCUCGUGUCGUGAGAUGUUGGGUUAAGUCCCGCAACGAGCGCAACCCUUAUUUUUAGUUACUAAUUAAUUAGGUUUUCUAGAAAGACUGCCGGUGACAAACCGGAGGAAGGUGAGGAUGACGUCAAGUCAGCAUGCCCCUUAUGUCCUGGGCUACACCAUCGUGCUACAAUGGUUAAAACAAAGGGUCGCGAGCUCGUGAGAGUCAGCUAAUCCCAUAAAUUUAGCCUAAGUYCWGAUUGUAGCUGC
rnacentral:rRNA from 1 species